rnacentral:rRNA from 1 species
GUAGUUAGCCGGGGCUUCCUCCUUGGCUACCGUCACUUUCUUCGUCACCAAGGACAGAGGUUUACAACCCGAAAGCCUUCUUCCCUCACGCGGCGUUGCUGGGUCAGGCUUGCGCCCAUUGCCCAAUAUUCCCCACUGCUGCCUCCCGUAGGAGUCUGGACCGUGUCUCAGUUCCAGUGUGGCCGUUCAGCCUCUCAGCUCGGCUACCCAUCGUCGACUUGGUGGGCCGUUACCCCGCCAACUAUCUAAUGGGACGCGAACCCCUCCUAAAGCGGAUUGCUCCUUUGACCUCUGAGCGAUGUCACUCCGUGGUCUUAUGCGGUAUUAGCAACCGUUUCCGAUUGUUAUCCCCCACUCUAGGGCAGGUUGUUCACGCGUUACUCACCCGUUCGCCACUAAAGUAUCAACCGAAAUCAAUACUUCCGUUCGACUUGCAUGUGUUAGGCACGCCGCCAGCGUUCGUCCUCGAGCCACGAGUACAACUAACCUUACGACGUACGUAGACGGGCGGUCGGUCGAACGGACGGCGACUA